UGGGGAAUAUUGGACAAUGGGCGCAAGCCUGAUCCAGCCACGCCGCGUGAGUGAUGAAGGCCUUCGGGUUGUAAAGCUCUGUGGGGAGGGACGAAAACGGCAUCCAAGAAACGGGGUGUCCUUGACGGUACCUCCUUAGCAAGCACCGGCUAACUCUGUGCCAGCAGCCGCGGUAAUACAGAGGGUGCGAACGUUGCUCGGAAUUACUGGGCGUAAAGCGCGUGUAGGCGGGUCGGCAAGUCAGGCGUGAAAUCCCCAGGCUCAACCUGGGAACUGCGCUUGAAACUGCCGGUCUUGAGUAUCGGAGAGGGUGGCGGAAUUCCUGGUGUAGAGGUGAAAUUCGUAGAUAUCAGGAGGAACACCGGUGGCGAAGGCGGCCACCUGGACGAUUACUGACGCUGAGACGCGAAAGCGUGGGGAGCAAACAG
rnacentral:rRNA from 1 species